CAAGUAAUUAAGUGCAUGUGGUGGAUGCCUUGGCAGUCAGAGGCGAUGAAAGACGUGAUAGCCUGCGAAAAGCUCCGGGGAGGCGGCAAAUAUCCUUUGAUCCGGAGAUGUCUGAAUGGGGGAACCCACCUACUUUAAGGUAGGUAUUGCAACAUGAAUACAUAGUGUUGCAAGGCGAACGAGGGGAAGUGAAACAUCUCAGUACCCUUAGGAAAAGAAAUCAAUUGAGAUUCCCUCAGUAGCGGCGAGCGAACGGGGAUCAGCCCAUUAAGUUAUGUGUGUUUUAGUGGAACGCUCUGGGAAGUGCGAACGUAGAGGGUGAUAUUCCCGUACACGAAAGGGCACACAUAAUGAUGACGAGUAGGGCGAGGCACGUGAAACCUUGUCUGAAUAUGGGGGGACCAUCCUCCAAGGCUAAAUACUCCUGACUGACCGAUAGUGAACCAGUACCGUGAGGGAAAGGCGAAAAGAACCCCUGUGAGGGGAGUGAAAUAGAUCCUGAAACCGCAUGCAUACAAGCAGUGGGAGCACCUUCGUGGUGUGACUGCGUACCUUUUGUAUAAUGGGUCAGCGACUUAUAUUCAGUAGCGAGGUUAACCGUAUAGGGGAGCCGUAGAGAAAUCGAGUCUUAAUAGGGCGUUUAGUUGCUGGGUAUAGACCCGAAACCAGGCGAUCUAUCCAUGAGCAGGUUGAAGGUUGGGUAACACUAACUGGAGGACCGAACCCACUGUCGUUGAAAAGCCAGGGGAUGACUUGUGGAUAGGGGUGAAAGGCUAAUCAAGCCUGGUGAUAGCUGGUUCUCCCCGAAAGCUAUUUAGGUAGCGCCUCGGACGAAUACCAUAGGGGGUAGAGCACUGUUUCGGCUAGGGGGUCAUCCCGACUUACCAAACCGAUGCAAACUCCGAAUACCUAUGAGUACUAUCCGGGAGACAGACUGCGGGUGCUAACGUCCGUAGUCAAGAGGAAAACAAUCCAGACCGCCAGCUAAGGCCCCAAAAUCAUAGUUAAGUGGGAAACGAUGUGGGAAGGCAUAGACAGCUAGGAGGUUGGCUUAGAAGCAGCCACCCUUUAAAGAAAGCGUAAUAGCUCACUAGUCGAGUCGGCCUGCGCGGAAGAUGUAACGGGGCUAAAACUAUGUGCCGAAGCUGCGGAUGUAUACUUUGUAUACGUGGUAGGGGAGCGUUCUGUAAGCCGAUGAAGGUGUGUUGAGAAGCAUGCUGGAGGUAUCAGAAGUGCGAAUGCUGACGUGAGUAACGACAAAACGGGUGAAAAACCCGUUCGCCGAAAGACCAAGGGUUCCAGUCCAACGUUAAUCGGGGCUGGGUGAGUCGACCCCUAAGGCGAGGCCGAAAGGCGUAGUCGAUGGGAAAAUGGUUAAUAUUCCAUUACUUCUGUGUAAUGCGAUGAGAGGACGGAGAAGGCUAAAUCAGCCUGGCGUUGGUUGUCCAGGUGAAAGGAUGUAGGCAUGUAUCUUAGGCAAAUCCGGGGUACUCUAUGCUGAGAUCUGAUAGCAAGCUGUACUUGUACAGCGAAGUGGUUGAUGCCAUGCUUCCAGGAAAAGUCUCUAAGCUUCAGUUACACAGGAAUCGUACCCGAAACCGACACAGGUGGUCAGGUCGAGUAGACCAAGGCGCUUGAGAGAACUCUGCUGAAGGAACUAGGCAAAAUGGUACCGUAACUUCGGGAGAAGGUACGCUGUUGUUGGUGAUGGAACUCGCUUCCUGAGCUGACGACAGCCGCAGAAACCAGGCCGCUGCAACUGUUUAUUAAAAACAUAGCACUCUGCAAACACGAAAGUGGACGUAUAGGGUGUGAUGCCUGCCCGGUGCUGGAAGGUUAAUUGAUGGGGUUAGCGUAAGCGAAGCUCUUGAUCGAAGCCCCAGUAAACGGCGGCCGUAACUAUAACGGUCCUAAGGUAGCGAAAUUCCUUGUCGGGUAAGUUCCGACCUGCACGAAUGGCAUAAUGAUGGCGGCGCUGUCUCCAGCAGAGGCUCAGUGAAAUCGAAAUCGCUGUGAAGAUGCAGUGUCCCCGCGGCUAGACGGAAAGACCCCGUGAACCUUUACUGCAGCUUGACACUGAACUUUGACCUUACUUGUGUAGGAUAGGUGGGAGGCUUUGAAGCUGGAACGCUAGUUCCAGUGGAGCCGUCCUUGAAAUACCACCCUGGUAAUGUUGAGGUUCUAACUCUGUCCCGUGAUCCGGGACGAGGACCGUGUCUGGUGGGUAGUUUGACUGGGGCGGUCUCCUCCUAAAGAGUAACGGAGGAGUACGAAGGUGCGCUCAGCGUGGUCGGAAAUCACGCGUAGAGUAUAAAGGCAAAAGCGCGCUUAACUGCGAGACCCACAAGUCGAGCAGGUACGAAAGUAGGUCUUAGUGAUCCGGUGGUUCUGUAUGGAAGGGCCAUCGCUCAACGGAUAAAAGGUACUCUGGGGAUAACAGGCUGAUACCGCCCAAGAGUUCAUAUCGACGGCGGUGUUUGGCACCUCGAUGUCGGCUCAUCUCAUCCUGGGGCUGAAGCAGGUCCCAAGGGUAUGGCUGUUCGCCAUUUAAAGAGGUACGCGAGCUGGGUUUAGAACGUCGUGAGACAGUUCGGUCCCUAUCUACCGUGGGCGCUGGAAAUUUGAGAGGAUCUGCUCCUAGUACGAGAGGACCAGAGUGGACGAACCUCUGGUGUACCGGUUGUGACGCCAGUCGCAUCGCCGGGUAGCUAUGUUCGGAAGGGAUAACCGCUGAAAGCAUCUAAGCGGGAAGCCUACCUCAAGAUAAGAUUUCCCUAGGACUUUAUGUCCUCUAAAGAGCCGUUCGAGACUAGGACGUUGAUAGGUUGGAUGUGGAAGCAUAGUGAUAUGUGAAGCUGACCAAUACUAAUUGCUCGUGAGGCUUGACUA
rnacentral:rRNA from 1 species